GGGCAAAUGUCUGAGAGGUUUAAGGUUCCAGUCUUGAAAACUGGUAAGAAUAAUAUUCUUCGCAAGUUCGAAUCUUGCUUUGUCCG
rnacentral:tRNA from 1 species